UCGAGUGAGCAUUCGUCUUCUGGUUACGGGGCCAUAGCUGAGCUGGGAGAGCGCGUGCUUUGCAAGCAUGAGGUCGUCGGUUCGAUCCCGUCUGGCUCCACCAGAUGGUUUGAUCACCUGCGACUGACCGUCGUCCGCGAAACAUCACUUCGCAUUCACUAGUCUGGAUAGACAGUGAACUGCGUGUUUUCUGACAUCGUAAAGAGGAGAUCGAUCCGAGUUGGGUCGUGCAGCAGAUUGUUGCGCGGAUCCUUCAUUAUCUCCGGAUCAUUUUCGGCGCUCGCUUUCAGCCGUGAGGCUGAACGCGAGUUGUAAAAUGAUCCUUUUAGCGAAGCUUGACCGCCUCGCUAUCGGAACGAUCUUACGAAGCAAGCUGGUCUUUCUAGUCAAUGUCCGGCUGUGAGAAUAGCGCUCGUCGAGGGCGCGUGCCGCAAGGCGGUUCUUACAGGCAGCAUUCUGCCGAGUGUGUGGACAUUGAUAAUGAGAGCAAUCAAGUGCCUUAAGGGUGUUCGGUGGAUGCCUUGGCGCUGAGAGGCGAUGAAGGACGUGCUACGCUGCGAUAAGCCGUGGGGAGCUGCGAAGAAGCUUUGAUCCGCGGAUUUCCGAUGG
rnacentral:misc_RNA from 1 species